rnacentral:rRNA from 1 species
AACCUACCUUCAACUGGGGAAUAGCCCGAAGAAAUUCGGAUUAAUACCCCAUAAUAAUAGAAAUUCGCAUGUUUUUCUAUUUAAAACUCCGGUGGUUGAAGAUGGGCAUGCGUCCUAUUAGUUAGUUGGUGAGGUAACGGCUCACCAAGACUCCGAUAGGUAGGGGUUCUGAGAGGAAGAUCCCCCACACUGGUACUGAGACACGGACCAGACUCCUACGGGAGGCAGCAGUGAGGAAUAUUGGACAAUGGACGAAAGUCUGAUCCAGCCAUGCCGCGUGUAGGAAGACUGCCCUCUGGGUUGUAAACUACUUUUAUAAGGGAAUAAACCCCCGUACGUGUACGGGGCUGAAUGUACCUUAAGAAUAAGCACCGGCUAACUCCGUGCCAGCAGCCACGGUAAUACGGAGGGUGCAAGCGUUAUCCGGAUUUAUUGGGUUUAAAGGGUCCGUAGGUGGAAUUGUAAGUCAGUGGUGAAAUCUUUCGGCUUAACCGGAAAACUGCCAUUGAUACUGCAGUUCUUGAGUAUGCUCGAGGUAGGCGGAAUAUGUCAUGUAGCGGUGAAAUGCAUAGAUAUGACAUAGAACACCAAUAGCGAAGGCAGCUUACCAGAUCAUAACUGACACUGAGGGACGAAAGCGUGGGGAGCGAACAGGAUUAGAUACCCUGGUAGUCCACGCCGUAAACGAUGAUCACUAGACAUUGGCGACAUACUGUCGGUGUCAAAGCGAAAGUAUUAAGUGAUCCACCUGGGGAGUACGCCGGCAACGGUGAAACUCAAAGGAAUUGACGGGGGCCCGCACAAGCGGUGGAGCAUGUGGUUUAAUUCGAUGAUACGCGAGGAACCUUACCUGGGCUUAAAUGCAGAACGACCGAUCCGGAAACGGAUCUUUCUUCGGACGGACUGCAAGGUGCUGCAUGGUUGUCGUCAGCUCGUGCCGUGAGGUGUCGGGUUAAGUCCCAUAACGAGCGCAACCCCUAUCGUUAGUUGCCAGCGGAUAAUGCCGGGGACUCUAACGAAACUGCCCGUGCAAGCGGAGAGGAAGGUGGGGAUGACGUCAAAUCAUCACGGCCCUUACGUCCAGGGCUACACACGUGCUACAAUGGCGCAUACAAAGGGCAGCUACCACGCGAGUGGAUGCUAAUCUCUAAAGUGCGUCUCAGUUCGGAUUGAAGUCUGCAACUCGACUUCAUGAAGCUGGAAUCGCUAGUA